GAUGGCUUAGUGGUUAGAGCGUCCACCUCUUUUGCGGGAGGUCGCGGGUUCGUACCCCGGCCUGUUCG